AGGACGAACGCUGGCGGCGUGCUUAACACAUGCAAGUCGAGCGGAAAGGCCCUUCGGGGUACUCGAGCGGCGAACGGGUGAGUAACACGUGAGUAAUCUGCCCUUAGCUCUGGGAUAGCUCCGGGAAACCGGGAUUAAUACCAGAUACAACCACUUUAGACAUCUGUUGUGGUGGAAAGAAUUUUGGCUAAGGAUGAGCUCGCGGCCUAUCAGCUUGUUGGUGGGGUAAUGGCCUACCAAGGCGACGACGGGUAGCCGGCCUGAGAGGGCGACCGGCCACACUGGGACUGAGACACGGCCCAGACUCCUACGGGAGGCAGCAGUGGGGAAUAUUGCGCAAUGGGCGAAAGCCUGACGCAGCGACGCCGCGUGGGGGAUGAAGGCCGUUCGGUUCGUAAACCCUUUCAGCAGGGACGAAGACGAAAGUGACGGUACCUGCAGAAGAAGCGCCGGCUAACUACGUGCCAGCAGCCGC
rnacentral:rRNA from 1 species